CUCUCCCACAGUUUUGGACAUUAAGCCAACGCCCAAGUUUCAGGCUCCUUGCAGAAACAGCAGAGCUGCCAGGGAGCUGGAGGCUUCCAGGGAUCAGCCUUCACUAUAUGCGUUCCAUCAAACCAGGUUCACCUGCAUGACCAUGGAAAUUGUGUCAACAUCAUAAUGAUCAUAACUCCACUUUCCUAAAUUAUGCCCAAAAGUUCACCAGGUAGAUUCAAACAAUUCUGAUGUGGAUUCAUACAGAAGUUGAUUGCUGUAAGUAGUUUAGUUUCACUGAAAGCAGUGCAAACAUACAUGUUGUUUUAAUUUCUUUUUUUUAAUGUAAUUAUGCAAUAUAGCUGCCUGCAAACACUGACAUCCCUAAUGUCAUUCAUGCUAAAUAAACGUGCCAUCAGCCUGACAACAGGUUUUACUCCACUUCCAUGCACUAGUACGUAGAGAUCUGCUGCACUUACAUGUUAUUUGACAUGCCUGCUUUUAUUGUUUGACUGUUUUCCCAAAGGUAUUGCUUAGCUACAGUUAGUCAAAAGAUCCUAAACAUUCAACUGAAGUGGCCACAACUGUGCCAAGUAUAGCUGGCAAAUGUCCUAUUUGCUUUCUGCUACAUUAUGGCUUUUGUUUCAAGCGAAUCGUGACAGUAUCUGAGUGAUAUACAAAGCCUUUUCAUGGAUACCUUACAUUUUCCUUUCAUUCAAGCUAACCUGAUAACUUUUUCCUUUUACUAAUAAUUUCAUGAUCCAUUAAUGAGUUUUAAAUGUAUAUAACACUGCUAUAAUAUUGUUAUGCAACGCAGAUAAACUUGAUUAGAAAUACAUUUGAUCUGUACAUUACCCUAAUAAGAAAAUAUAUCCUUCCCUUUUUCCUGACGGGUUUUUCAGUGCGGUACUAAAAUCUUAACCCUAUGCCAUAGCAUUCCUAUUUGUUGUUUCAUGCCGACAUACAGCAGAGAAAAUACUGUGGAUGGUCAUCACCAAGAGCCCAUGUUAUUAGCAUUUUUUAGUGUGAUUAAACGAUACAUGUCCCGUAGCGGGCGUGACGAGCAGACGGGAAGCAGGGUAGGAUGAGGCAGGCGGGCGAGGAUGAAGACGGGGCAGAUGGUAAGGAACAAUACACCACAAAACAUCAAUGACGGACACUCAACCGAGAAAUACAUGGAAUGAUAUACGUGAGACAAAGCAAAAUAACAGGGAACAGCUGGGUGCAAUCGGGGAAGGACACGUGGAUGA